CAUACUUGCUCAACGGUAGAGCGAUCAUCUAGUAAAUGAUAAGUGCAGGUUCAAUUCCUGCGGUGUUACCA
rnacentral:tRNA from 3 species